rnacentral:rRNA from 1 species
AGGAUGAACGCUGGCGGUAUGCUUUACACAUGCAAGUCGAACGCAAGUUUUUAACUUGAGUGGCGGACGGGUGAGUAACACGUGAGAAUUCACCUUUAGGCGGGGAAUAACUAUCGGAAACAAUAGCUAAUGCCCCAUAUGCUCGCAAGAGUGAAAGGAGUAAUCCACCCAAAGAGAAGCUCGCGGCUGAUUAGCUAGUUGGUAAGGUAAUGGCUUACCAAGGCGACGAUCAGUAGCUGGUUUGAGAGAACGAUCAGCCACACUGGAACUGAGACACGGUCCAGACUCCUACGGGAGCAGCAGU